GGGAAAUUCACGUGACCGGAAACUCAGACUUCUGCGGAAGCAGUGCAAAUAUUUGCUCAAAUGUCAAACCAUUUCCCGGGAAAACGAAGCAAAACAAACUAACUAAGCGAGGGAGAGAUGAGUAAUCGUUCGUACGUACGUAAGUAGGUUAGCUUGCUACUUUUGAUUGUCUUUGAUCGCGUGUAGUGAGUCGCCUAUGAUGGUAUGCAGCCUGAAGCGAAGGAUCCAGAGGAGGAUAGUGUCUGGGAGGAACCACCUUCAAUGCUGUGGGGACUGGACCCCAUGUUCAACGCUUUCACCAGGCUCUAUGUCAAAGACAUCCUACAGAUGAGAGAGUCCUGUCAAGUGUCAGGGAUAUACUUCUACAACUCUCACCCGAUAUUCAAAGUUGAUGUGCUCGGGACUGUGGUGUACAAACGAGAGCGAGAAGACUUCUUCUGUUACGGUGUUGAUGAUGGUACUGGUGUUAUAAACAGCCUUUGCUGGAAAGAUGAACCGUGGAGGGAGCAAGGUGACCCUGCUACACCAGGGGCAAGGUCCUUCGGUAGCAGCGCUCGUGAAGACUUCAACCCAGCCAACGAGCUGAAGAAACUACGGCAAGCCCAACAUAGCAGCUCCCACCUGGAGAUAGGAGAACUGCUCAGGGUGCGAGGGCCCGUCAAGACCUCCAGACAACAGCGAGAGAUAAUGGCCUCCACUUACUAUAAAGUGUCAGACCCAGUGAUGGCGGUCCAGAUAUCCUGGAUGAUGGAGGUUCCUCAGCUCUACAGAGAGUGCUAUGAUAAACCAUUCCAUCUGGACAGCAGUGCACAGAACCCUAACAUUCAAGGUGGUUCUGCUUCAUACCUGCUUGGCAGAGCCACUCAUAUCCUGAAGGACUUCCUGAAAGUGAAAGAAGUCACCAGGUUCAGACCCUAUGAUGUCCAGGACCUUCUACAGCCUCUGGUCUCCAGACAACCUCAGAAGACAGCAGCAGAACAAGUACACAUACAGUGGGAAGAACAAGAGCCUGAGGCUGGUCCAUCAUCGGGUCCACCAACAUCUUUCAAACAGCUCAGGGAGCUACUCCAGAAGAGCCUUCAGAUUCUGCAGGACGAAGGCUUGGUGUUCCGCAAGGUCAAAUGUCAGGAUGAAGUUUACCAUGUAACGGAACGGGACAAGGAUCUUCUCAUGGCAAUCAGAGACAUUCUUCGGGAAGAUUGCAGACGAGAGAAAUAUGCGGAAAAGGGUUGCCACAUCCUGCACAUCCUGUCCAGUGUGAGACAGAGGUACAGUCGCAACGUGAGCAAGGCAGCCUUGGAACUGGUCCUCAAAGCUCUGGAGUGUAAUAGUGACAUCAUCAGCACCAGCGACAGUCAUUACACUAUCCUCUGACGCUGAUUUAGACAUUCUGGGACAUUCCACAAACUAUCUGAAAUGGGAGUGAAACGGGGAGGUACUAUCCGACCUUGUCCAAUAAGAAACGCAUGUUUUUAUGCUCCCUGCUGUUUCAUUACAAUAUGUAUAACGUGUGCCCUAAUAAAUAUGACCUUAAUAAAUGUGAUUAUUACUUAACAUGGCCGUCUUCAAGAUGUCAGUCGCUAUCAAUCAUGCUGGAGCUAUGUACAUUUGUAUGAAUGUGUAUUUAAGGAGUACAGUUUUGUGCAAUAUUUAUUUUUAAAAUGUGCUAAAGUUGUAUAAAUUAUGUGUACAAUACCUGGAUUUAGAAUUAAACUUGGAGCAUAUGCUCAUUUUGCACACGGGGGCAGUAUUUCGUCGUUUAAUAUGCACCGCGAUGCAGCCCGUUCGCUGAUUGGUCCACUUUGAAACAUCUGUAUCCAUACGUCCAAGCUAUUGAUGAGAGCAGCCUAUAGCGUCUUAUGACUCAGUUGCCACCGCUGUCAACGAAACUGCGAGGCAUAAGAAGCAAUAUAUGGAAUCGUUUAUGCUAUCUAGGCCCAAAGAACAAAUAGGUUG